rnacentral:tRNA from 1 species
ACCAGUUUUGUCUAGUGGUUUGAAUGCUGGACUAGGACUCUGAGAGACCAGGGUUCAAAUCCCUGCUCAGCCA